GGCUCGCGGCCUAUCAGCUAGUUGGUGAGGUAACGGCUCACCAAGGCAUCGACGGGUAGCUGGUCUGAGAGGACGAUCAGCCACACUGGAACUGAGACACGGUCCAGACUCCUACGGGAGGCAGCAGUAGGGAAUCUUGCGCAAUGGGCGAAAGCCUGACGCAGCAAUGCCGCGUGCGGGACGAAGGCCCUAGGGUCGUAAACCGCUUUCAGUAGGGACGAAAAUGACGGUACCUGCAGAAGAAGCUCCGGCCAAAUACGUUCCAGCAGCCGCGGUGAUUAGUAGGGAGCAAGCGUUGUCCGGAAUUAAUGGGGGUAAAGGGCUUGUAGGUGGUUGAGUAAGUUAGAUGUGAAAAAUCAGGGCCCAACCCUGAGCCUGCAUUUGAUAAUGCUCUGACUAGAGUCCGGUAGGGGAGUGCGGAAUUCCUGGUGUAGCGGUGAAAUGCGCAGAUAUCAGGAGGAACACCGACAGCGAAGGCAGCUCUCUGG
rnacentral:rRNA from 1 species